rnacentral:lncRNA from 1 species
AUAUUGCGCCAAUAUUGUCAAGCAAUAUUACGCCAAUAUUGUCUUACCAAUAUUGGCAAACAAUAUUGCGCCAAUAUUAUCCCAUUAUCGAUUUACUGAUAUUGGUAUGCCAAUAUUGGCGAAAUAUUGUUUGCCAAUAUUGGCUUUAUGUUAAAUUAUACAUAUUGGUACGCAUGCGUAACAUUAAGGAAUAUUCAUAAUGUCCUUUAGUUUUGUUAAAUGUGUUUAAAUGUAAAUAAUAGCAUCUUUUUACAUAAACAUGUUAUUAAUUUUUUUACAAAAACAAAUAAGAGUUCAAAAUAAAAAUUUUAAUUUAUGAAAAGAGAAGAAGUAGGAAAAGUAUUUUUAAUUCAACAUUUACAGAGUGAAUCAGGAGAAGAAGUGUUGGUAAUUUAUUUUGAAACAGAUAGUAUCACGAGAAGAAGUGGUAAGAGUAAUAAAAUUCUUUUAUUCAACAUUACGAAUUGAAUUACAAGAAGAGGUGGUUGUAAUUAAUUUAACACAUAUUGCAUCACGAGAAGAAUAGGAAAAAUAUUGCUAUACUUAAGUAUAAAGAUUGAAAUACUGAUGUACCAUUAAACUGAAGGUGGUAAUAAAGUUUACAAAAUUUGCUCUGGCUGAACUUUUCAAUAAAAAAACAAUAUGUGUGCUGUAAAUGUAAUCUGUUUUUCAUGGCAGAUCAAUGAAAGUUUGGUGUAUUGGCCAAAUCACUUGCAAACAACUUGCCUUUAGGCUGCCAUAUGAAAAGUCACGCUUUUAAAAGUAACUGAAAGCAGCUGAAAAUAAGAAUUUUAUGAUGAACUUUCUUACUUCGAUUGGAGGAGAUGAGAAACAACUUACAGCGACAAUCUUAAUACAGUUAAUGGCCAAAGAAGUAUGUUUUUCAUACUCAGUGUAUGGAAGGAAACAAAAGCGUCCUGCAAGGUCGUUAUAGAAUUGCGUUUAGUCAUUUAUCGUUGUUCUCGUUCAUUUCGAAAUCGCUACUGACAAAAGUAUUAAAGAAAAAAUUGGCAGCUUUCUGGCGACGGCCAUUAAUAGAGAUUACGGAAGAAAAAAAGAACCGUAACUGAGCAAUCCCCAAUAUUGAGCAAUGAAAUAAGUAUCGCCAAAAUAAUGAAAGUCGAUGCCCACUAUCUCAUAGUGAGAGUAUAAUACAGUACUUUGAUUUUAUUUUGUUAUAUUUUGGUUUUGGAAAACUCUAUACAUCUUUUUUUCAUUUGUAUCUGUUUCAUUUAACUUCAAAUAAGUUUAAUGA